GGAGGCGGAGGCGGCGGCGGCAUCGCUGCACAGGCUGCCACGCCAUGGGGCAUCGGAGACAUAGACCCCGGUACGCCACUUGGUUGGGACGUUCGAGUAGGAGGCCGUGGCUGCGGGGGCAGCGGGGGCUGACGGCCAUUUUGAUCACUACGGUUGUUCAUGGAACAAAAUGUCUGGAAACAAAGAAUGGUACACUUGAGGUGAAAGAUAGUAACGCCCACUGUAAACAAAAUUCUAAUUCAUGUUAUAUUUAAGAUGAUUACUUCGCGCUAAAUAUCAACUUAAAAUACUAGUUACUUUAUUUAGAAGAUUUAACCUGGACUUUUACUUCGUCACGAAUAAGAGCACUUGACACCACACUGAAACAGUAAAUCCAUCCAAACUAAUUAAAUAUUAUAAGUGUACGCAAAAACAUCUUUGUUCAAGAACAGUCUCUACUACUAGAUUAUUGCUAAAUGCACCGAGAUUAAGAAAAAUAGAAAUAAACAAUAAGAUGGCGAAUACUCCACCUCAAUGUUGCCAUGCGAAUAAUACAAUUACAAUAAAAUGCACGUUAUUUUAUGCACGUGUUAAAUUGAUCUAUUUUUGUGUAAUAAUAUACUAAACACCCAUAGUGAAAUUGGUUCACUACAUUACCAUGGAUGUGUAAAGCGUUUUACGUGUUUAAAAUUAUAUCAAUAAAAUUAAGUAAAAAUGUAUCAGGCGAUUAAUUAUAUAGUCCCGCAAGAACAUUGUCUCUUUCGCCUCUGAGCAUUUAGGGUUACCAGCAAUGUAAUAUACACAUUUAUAAAGGACGUGUCUACAUUUUGUAUGAUAGGUGGUUUUGUAAACUAACAGAACUCGUAUCAAAUUUAUUGGUAGAUAAA